rfam:Leucosporidium creatinivorum strain 62-1032 BCR35scaffold_9, whole genome shotgun sequence.
GCCCGAGUUGAAAGACUCGGUGCACACAAUAAAAUUGGAACGAUACAGAGAAGAUUAGCAUGGCCCCUGCACAAGGAUGACACAUGCAGUCAGAUAGGAUGUACGCUCUUUG